AUUUAUAUAGUUUAAAAAAAAAACAUUACAUUUUCAUUGUAAAAAUAAAAAAAUUUUUUUAUAAAUU
rnacentral:tRNA from 1 species